rnacentral:tRNA from 1 species
GGCUGGAGAGAUGGCUCAGCGGUUAAGAGCAUUGACUGCUUUUCCAAAGGUCCUGAGUUCAAUUCCCAGCAACCA